rnacentral:rRNA from 1 species
GACGAACGCUGGCGGCGUGCUUAACACAUGCAAGUCGAGCGAGGGGCUUCGGCUCCUAGCGGCGAACGGGUGAGUAACACGUGGGCAACCUGCCCCGAGCUCUGGAAUAACUUCGGGAAACCGGGGCUAAUGCCGGAUAUGACACUGCCGGGCAUCUGGUGGUGUGGAAAGAUUUAUCGGCUCGGGAUGGGCCCGCGGCCUAUCAGCUUGUUGGUGGGGUGAUGGCCUACCAAGGCGACGACGGGUAGCCGGCCUGAGAGGGCGACCGGCCACACUGGGACUGAGACACGGCCCAGACUCCUACGGGAGGCAGCAGUGGGGAAUAUUGCGCAAUGGGCGAAAGCCUGACGCAGCGACGCCGCGUGGGGGAUGACGGCC